AUUGAACGCUGGCGGCAGGCCUAACACAUGCAAGUCGAGCGGAUGAAGGGAGCUUGCUCCUGGAUUCAGCGGCGGACGGGUGAGUAAUGCCUAGGAAUCUGCCUGGUAGUGGGGGAUAACGUCCGGAAACGGGCGCUAAUACCGCAUACGUCCUGAGGGAGAAAGUGGGGGAUCUUCGGACCUCACGCUAUCAGAUGAGCCUAGGUCGGGUUAGCUAGUUGGUGGGGUAAAGGCCUACCAAGGCGACGAUCCGUAACUGGUCUGAGAGGAUGAUCAGUCACACUGGAAGUGAGACACGGUCCAGACUCCUACGGGAGGCCGCAGUGGGGAAUAUUGGACAAUGGGCGAAAGCCUGAUACAGCCAUGCCGAGUGUGUGAAGAAGGUCUUCGGAUUGUAAAGCACUUUAAGUUGGGAGGAAGGGCAGUAAGUUAAUACCUUGCUGUUUUGACGUUACCAACAGAAUAAGCACCGGCUAACUUCGUG
rnacentral:rRNA from 1 species